rnacentral:rRNA from 1 species
CCUACGGGAGACAGCAGUGAGGAAUAUUGGUCAAUGGUCGCGAGCCUGAACCAGCCAAGUAGCGUGAAGGAUGACUGCCCUACGGGUUGUAAACUUCUUUUAUAAAGGAAUAAAGUGAGGCACGUGUGCCCUUUUGUAUGUACUUUAUGAAUAAGGAUCGGCUAACUCCGUGCCAGCAGCCGCGGUAAUACGGAGGAACCGAGCGUUAUCCGGAUUUCUUGGGUUUAAAGGGAGCGUAGAUGGGUUGUUAAGUCAGUUGUGAAAGUUUGCGGCUCAACCGUAAAAUUGCAGUUGAUACUGGCAGUCUUGAGUACAGGUGAGGUAGGCGGAAUUCGUGGUGUAGCGGUGAAAUGCUUAGAUAUCACGAAGAACUCCGAUUGCGAAGGCAGCUUACUAAACUGCCACUGACAUUGAUGCUCGAAAGUGUGGGUAUCAAACAGGAUUAGAUACCCUUGUAGUC